rnacentral:rRNA from 1 species
UGAGUUUGAUUCUGGCUCAGAUUGAACGCUGGCGGUAGGCUUAACACAUGCAAGUCGUGCGAGAAAGUAUCUUCGGAUAUGAGUAGAGCGGCGGACGGGUGAGUAACGCGUAGGAAUCUACCUAGUAGAAGGGGAUAGCCCGGGGAAACUCGGAUUAAUACCGUAUACCUCCUUUGGGAGAAAGAGGGCCUCUCUUGAUGCUCUCGCUAUUAGAUGAGCCUGCGUAAGAUUAGCUUGUUGGUGAGGUAAUGGCUUACCAAGGCUACGAUCUUUAGCUGGUCUGAGAGGACGAUCAGCCACAUUGGGACUGAGACACGGCCCAGACUCCUACGGGAGGCAGCAGUGGGGAAUAUUGGACAAUGGGCGCAAGCCUGAUCCAGCCAUACCGCGUGUGUGAAGAAGGCCUUCGGGUUGUAAAGCACUUUAAGCAGGGAGAAAAAGUUAUAAGUUAAUACCUUAUAACCGUGAUGUUACCUGCAGAAUAAGCACCGGCUAAUUCCGUGCCAGCAGCCGCGGUAAUACGGAAGGUGCAAGCGUUAAUCGGAAUUACUGGGCGUAAAGCGCGCGUAGGUGGUUUGUUAAGUUGGAUGUGAAAGCC